GGCGCUCUGGCGGAGUGGUUAACGCGUUUGACUCGAACGAUUUGGCAUUGGCUGGAUUCAAUUAGGGUAUCAAAUUCCUUCGGGAGCGCAGGUUCGAAUCCUGCGGGCGUCG